rnacentral:rRNA from 1 species
GAUGAACGCUGGCGGCGUGCCUAAUACAUGCAAGUCGAGCGAACGGACGAGAAGCUUGCUUCUCUGAUGUUAGCGGCGGACGGGUGAGUAACACGUGGAUAACCUACCUAUAAGACUGGGAUAACUUCGGGAAACCGGAGCUAAUACCGGAUAAUAUUUUGAACCGCAUGGUUCAAAAUUGAAAGACGGUCUUGCUUUCACUUAUAGAUGGAUCCGCGCUGCAUUAGCUAGUUGGUAAGGUAACGGCUAACCAAGGCAACGAUGCAUAGCCGACCUGAGAGGGUGAUCGGCCACACUGGAACUGAAACACGGUCCAGACUCCUACGGGAGGCAGCAGUAGGGAAUCUUCGGCAAUGGGCGAAAGCCUGACGGAGCAAGGCCGCGUGGGUGAUGAAGGUCUUCGGAUCGUAAAACUCGGUUAUUAGGGAAGAACAUAUGUGUAAGUAACUGUGCACAACUUGACGGUACCUAAUCAGAAAGCCACGGCUAACUACGUG